rnacentral:rRNA from 1 species
UACGGGGGGGGCAAGCGUUGUUCGGAAUUACUGGGCGUAAAGGGCUCGUAGGCGGCCAACUAAGUCAGACGUGAAAUCCCUCGGCUUAACCGGGGAACUGCGUCUGAUACUGGAUGGCUUGAGGUUGGGAGAGGGAUGCGGAAUUCCUGGUGUAGCGGUGAAAUUCGUAGAUAUUGGGAGGAACACCGGUGGCGAAGGCGGCCAUCUGGGAGGGCACUGACGCUGAGACGCGAAAGCGUGGGGAGCAAACAGG